GACGAACGCUGGCGGCGUGCUUAACACAUGCAAGUCGAGCGGGAUCCAACCGGUGGCAACACCGGGGAAGAUCUAGCGGCGAACGGGUGAGUAACACGUGAGCAACCUGCCCCGAAGACUGGGAUAACACCGGGAAACCGGUGCUAAUACCGGAUGUCGUCAUUAGGCCGCAUGACCUGAUGAUGAAAGGAUUCAUCGCUUCGGGAGGGGCUCGCGGGCUAUCAGCUUGNGGUGGGGUAACGGCCUACCAAGGCGACGACGGCUAGCUGGUCUGAGAGGACGACCAGCCACACUGGGACUGAGACACGGCCCAGACUCCUACGGGAGGCAGCAGUGGGGAAUCUUGCGCAAUGGGCGAAAGCCUGACGCAGCAACGCCGCGUGGGGGAUGAAUGCCUUCGGGUUGUAAACCCCUUUCAGCAGGGACGAAAUUGACGGUACCUGCAGAAGAAGCCCCGGCCAACUACGUGCCAGCAGCCG
rnacentral:rRNA from 1 species